rnacentral:rRNA from 1 species
GGAAUCUUCCACAAUGGACGAAAGUCUGAUGGAGCAACGCCGCGUGAGUGAAGAAGGAUUUCGGUUCGUAAAACUCUGUUGUAAGGGAAGAAUAAGUACAGUAGUAACUGGCUGUACCUUGACGGUACCUUAUUAGAAAGCCACGGCUAACUACGUGCCAGCAGCCGCGGUAAUACGUAGGUGGCAAGCGUUGUCCGGAAUUAUUGGGCGUAAAGCGCGCGCAGGCGGUCCUUUAAGUCUGAUGUGAAAGCCCACGGCUCAACCGUGGAGGGUCAUUGGAAACUGGGGGACUUGAGUGCAGAAGAGGAAAGUGGAAUUCCAAGUGUAGCGGUGAAAUGCGUAGAGAUUUGGAGGAACACCAGUGGCGAAGGCGACUUUCUGGUCCGUAACUGACGCUGAGGCGCGAAAGCGUGGGGAGCAAACAG